rnacentral:rRNA from 1 species
GAUGAACGCUGGCGGCGUGCUUAACACAUGCAAGUCGAACGGUGAAGGCGGAGCUUGCUCUGCUGGAUCAGUGGCGAACGGGUGAGUAACACGUGAGUAAUCUGCCCCUGACUCUGGGAUAAGCGCUGGAAACUGCGUCUAAUACUGGAUACGAGCUGCGAAGGCAUCUUCAGCAGCUGGAAAGAAUUUCGGUCAGGGAUGAGCUCGCGGCCUAUCAGCUUGUUGGUGGGGUAAUGGCUCACCAAGGCUUCGACGGGUAGCCGGCCUGAGAGGGUGACCGGCCACACUGGGACUGAGACACGGCCCAGACUCCUACGGGAGGCAGCAGUGGGGAAUAUUGCACAAUGGGCGAAAGCCUGAUGCAGCAACGCCGCGUGAGGGACGACGGCCUUCGGGUUGUAAACCUCUUUUAGCAGGGAAGAAGCGAAAGUGACGGUACCUGCAGAAGAAGCGCCGGCUAACUACGUG